rnacentral:rRNA from 1 species
GAUCUUGCACAAUGGGGGAAACCCUGAUGCAGCGACGCCGCGUGGGCGAAGAAGGCCUUCGGGUCGUAAAGCCCUUUUCUGGGUGCCGAGGAAGGACGGUAGCCCAGGAAGAAGUCUCGGCUAACUACGUGCCAGCAGCCGCGGUAAUACGUAGGGUGCAAGCGUUAAUCGGAAUUACUGGGCGUAAAGCGUGCGCAGGCGGUUCGGCAAGAAGGAUGUGAAAUCCCAGGGCUUAACCUUGGAACUGCAUUCUUAACUGCCGGGCUAGAGUAUGUCAGAGGGGGGUAGAAUUCCGCGUGUAGCAGUGAAAUGCGUAGAGAUGCGGAGGAAUACCGAUGGCGAAGGCAGCCCCCUGGGAUAAUACUGACGCUCAUGCACGAAAGCGUGGGGAGCAAACAGG